AGAAACAAAUUUCUGUUGUUUAUAAGCCAUCUAGUCUUUGUUAUAGCAGCCAGACAGACUGAGACAAUUGCAUUUACUAAUUAUUAUGCAAUUAACCAGAAAAAAAUUUUGUUUCAAUAGAGGGAGCUGAAAAUACUUCUAAAAGUUUUAACACCAAAUUCCUGCUUUGCUAGCUCCUGAGCAUAAGAUAAGUAAAGAAUCUGUCAUAUAUCUGAGUCAUCAUUUUUUGUAUCAGUUUUCUUAGAAAUAAGACUCUUAGUCUGACUGCUCUCUAGGACAUCCACUAGAAAUGCUUUUUUUGCCAUUUGUUGAAUUGUUUACUGGAUUUAUGAUGCUUUAUAUUAUUUAAAGCUUUCUUACAAAAAAUAAAAAGUAAAUACUAUUAAAUAAUGGCCUAAGAUAAUCACAGUUUUAGUAUAGAAAGCACCAAUAUCUAUGGGCGCACAAGAUGUUUACUGUCAUGAAUCUUGUGUUUGUAGAAGAUUUCUCCAUAACAAAUUGAAUGAUUUCAUGGAGAAAAAAUACUUGAUGGCGAUAAAACCUAUUUUUGGGAAAACUCCAAAUCUAUAAAAUCAUUUAUAUAAAAGGUGGACAGCCUUAAUACUUUACUAGAAAGGAUAAAUGGCUAAGAUUUAGUGAUCCAAGAAUCAAUUCUAAAUCAAGAAGUUAAAUCAAAUUCCAAAUAAUGUGGCCAAUAUAGGCCCAGUGCAGCUUUCUCCAUUACAUCAGAGUCAAAAAUUCCAGACUUUCAGUAGGCAGAGCAGGGUUUGACGCUUUGGGCAUAUUACUUAGUUUUACUAAUGCUUCACUUUUCUUGACCAACAUGAGGCCAUGUGUGUGAGAAAACCUUUGGAAAAUCCAAUGUUGUAUGCAGGUGGUGGUGAGGGUGCUCAUUACCAUUUGUCACAAAGCAAUCUUUUCUUCAUCUAGAGGAAGAUGAACUCCAUAAAGUAUUGAGUGUUCCUAGAAUGCGAUCCUGCAAGGCAGCAAGAAAACAGAUGUAUGAAGUGUUCUGCAAAUUUUCAGGUCAGAAGCAGAGAAUUAGAUGGAGAACCUGAAGGUCAUCUGAUGGGAGCACAAAGACAAUGGCUGCUGCAUUAGCCUGGUUUGCAGAAUGAAGAUGACAUGGGGCAGAGCCACAGCUGGAUCAGGAUGUACCAAGAGCAUGAAUAAGAAGUACUCCUGGUUGUUUAAAGCCACUGAGAUUGGGAUGUUUGUAUUACUGAAUCCUUCUUCACUGAUAAAGUCCCAUUUCAUCCACUCUCCAUUACAAGACUCAACCCAGACAGAUGACAACUCACACCCAUCUAUCUGCUCAGAGUCUAAAAGAAAACACACUUGGGAAAAAA
rnacentral:lncRNA from 1 species